rnacentral:rRNA from 1 species
CGGUAAUUCCAGCUCCAAUAGCGUAUACUAAAGUUGUUGCAGUUAAAAAGCUCGUAGUUGGAUUUCUGCGGGGACGGAGCGGCCGGACGCAACUUGCGUCUCGAGCUAGCGCUUUCCCCGCAUCCUGCCGCGAACCGUGCUACCAUUAGUUUGGUGGCGCUGGGGAUCGGCUCGAUUACUUUGAGAAAAAUAGAGUGUUCAAAGCAGGCCACACGCCUUGAAUAAGUUAGCAUGGAAUAAUGACUAAGGACUUUGGUUCUUUUCGUUGGUGUUCGGGACUGAAGUAAUGAUUGAUAGGGACAGUUGGGGCGGUCCGUAUUCCAAAGCGAGAGGUGAAAUUCUUAGACCUUCGGAAGACGAACAGCUGCGAAAGCGUUCCGCAAGGAUGUUCCCUUUGAUCAAGAACGAAAGUUGGGGGAUCGAAGACGAUCAGAUACCGUCGUAGUCUCAACUAUAAACUAUACCAGCUAGGGAUCGGCCAACGUUUAAUUAUUCGACUUGGUCGGCACCUUAUGAGAAAUCAAAGCAUCUGGGUUCCGGGGGGAGUAUGGUCGCAAGGCUGAAACUUAAAGGAAUUGACGGAAGGGCACCACCAGCCGUGGAGCCUGUGGCUUAAUUUGACUCAACACGGGAAAACUUACCAGGUCCAGACAUAGGAAGGAUUGACAGAUUGAUAGCUCUUUCUUGAUUCUGUGGGUGGUGGUGCAUGGCCGUUUUUAGUCGGUGAAGUGAUUUGUCUGCUUAAUUGCGUUAACGGACGAGACCCCAGCCUGCUAAAUAGCGCGGCCGAGCUUUGCUCGGUGCGAGCUUCUUAGAGGGACCAUGAUGCGCGAUAGCACAAGGAAGUUUGGGGCAACAACAGGUCUGUGAUGCCCUUAGAUGUUCUGGGCCGCACACGGGCUACACUGGCGCCUGCAACGAGCAUAUCAGCUGGCCCGAGAGGGUCUUGGCUAAUCUUUGGAACCGGCGCCGUGCUUGGGAUUGACCAUUACAAUUGUUGGUCAUGCAACGAGGAAUGCCUUGUAAACGCGAGUCAUCAGCUCGCAUUGAAUACGUCCCUGCCCUUUGUACACACCGCCCGUCGCUCCUACCGAUGAAUGUUCCGAUGAAAUUUUCGGAGAGCGCCAGAGAACGGGGCUCUGUCUUGUAGAUCUGGAGGCUCAAAGUCACUUAAAUCUGAACAUUUCGAGGAAGGAGAAGUCGUAACAAGGUAACC